UUCGUUCAAAGGAAAGUAGGAGAAAAGUAUAACCCACUUAAACUUGUUUAUCCAGGAAAUUUCUAUAAGCCUUCCAAUUGACUCGGUUGGGGACACUGUUAAGAGAGGAAGUCUUCAGGUGGGACACUACCCAGCCUUGAGGGUCGGGCACCCCGCUAGGAGGGUGGAUGAACUUGGACUCUUGGAGACAAGCCUCGCGCCAGGUUUACUCUAUUUUUUGCCUUCCGGUUACAUUAAUUGAUCGUAUCAGUUUUUUUUUUUAAAUGAAUUCGUCAUUUGUUUGGAAAAAAGGCUUGCGUGGUUUGUCAUCUUUCUUUCUUAAUCACGUGUCUCAAGUUUGAAGAAGAUCUGGUCUGGUCAAGUGAUCAAUACAAGAAAUGUAAAAAACUUUUCCUGUUGGUAUACUUUAAUAUUUAUGAAUAUUCAGUUCUCACGUCUGGCCAGAAGAGCUAGAUGAUGGAUCCUGGAA